UCGGGAAUUUUGGGCAAUGGGCGAAAGCCUGACCCAGCAACGCCGCGUGAAGGAUGAAGUAUUUCGGUAUGUAAACUUCGAAAGAAUGGGAAGAAUAAAUGACGGUACCAUUUAUAAGCUCCGGCUAACUACGUGCCAGCAGCCGCGGUAAUACGUAGGGAGCAAGCGUUGUUCGGAUUUACUGGGCGUAAAGGGCGCGUAGGCGGCGCGGUAAGUCACUUGUGAAAUCUCUGAGCUUAACUCAGAACGGCCAAGUGAUACUGCAGUGCUAGAGUGCAGAAGGGGCAAUCGGAAUUCUUGGUGUAGCGGUGAAAUGCGUAGAUAUCGGGAGGAACACCUGUGGCGAAGGCGGCCACCUGGUUGGAUACUGACGCUGAGACGCGAAAGCGUGGGGAGCAAACAGGAUUAGAUACCCACGUAGUCCCUGAGCGGGCUGGCAAGGCGCAU
rnacentral:rRNA from 1 species